rnacentral:rRNA from 2 species
UGCCUAUACAUGCAGUCGAACGAACUCUGGUAUUGAUUGGUGCUUGCAUCAUGAUUUACAUUUGAGUGAGUGGCGAACUGGUGAGUAACACGUGGGAAACCUGCCCAGAAGCGGGGGAUAACACCUGGAAACAGAUGCUAAUACCGCAUAACAACUUGGACCGCAUGGUCCGAGCUUGAAAGAUGGCUUCGGCUAUCACUUUUGGAUGGUCCCGCGGCGUAUUAGCUAGAUGGUGGGGUAACGGCUCACCAUGGCAAUGAUACGUAGCCGACCUGAGAGGGUAAUCGGCCACAUUGGGACUGAGACACGGCCCAAACUCCUACGGGAGGCAGCAGUAGGGAAUCUUCCACAAUGGACGAAAGUCUGAUGGAGCAACGCCGCGUGAGUGAAGAAGGGUUUCGGCUCGUAAAACUCUGUUGUUAAAGAAGAACAUAUCUGAGAGUAACUGUUCAGGUAUUGACGGUAUUUAACCAGAAAGCCACGGCUAACUACGUGCCAGCAGCCGCGGUAAUACGUAGGUGGCAAGCGUUGUCCGGAUUUAUUGGGCGUAAAGCGAGCGCAGGCGGUUUUUUAAGUCUGAUGUGAAAGCCUUCGGCUCAACCGAAGAAGUGCAUCGGAAACUGGGAAACUUGAGUGCAGAAGAGGACAGUGGAACUCCAUGUGUAGCGGUGAAAUGCGUAGAUAUAUGGAAGAACACCAGUGGCGAAGGCGGCUGUCUGGUCUGUAACUGACGCUGAGGCUCGAAAGUAUGGGUAGCAAACAGGAUUAGAUACCCUGGUAGUCCAUACCGUAAACGAUGAAUGCUAAGUGUUGGAGGGUUUCCGCCCUUCAGUGCUGCAGCUAACGCAUUAAGCAUUCCGCCUGGGGAGUACGGCCGCAAGGCUGAAACUCAAAGGAAUUGACGGGGGCCCGCACAAGCGGUGGAGCAUGUGGUUUAAUUCGAAGCUACGCGAAGAACCUUACCAGGUCUUGACAUACUAUGCAAAUCUAAGAGAUUAGACGUUCCCUUCGGGGACAUGGAUACAGGUGGGUGCAGGGUUGUCGUCAGCUCGUGUCGUGAGAAGUUUGGGGUUAAGUCCCGCAACGAGCGCAACCCUUAUUAUCAGUUGCCAGCAUUAAGUUGGGCACUCUGGUGAGACUGCCGGUGACAACCCGAGGAAGAGGGGGGGGAUGAAGGCCAAAUCAUCAUGGCCCCUUAUAACCGGGGGUACAACCUGGUCCAAAUGA